GGGAUUGCCUUAGUAACGGCGAGUGAAGCGGCAAUAGCUCAAAUUUGAAAGCUGGCGUCUUCGACGUCCGCGUUGUAAUUUGUAGAGGAUGCUUCGGCGAGGACUCCUGCCUAAGUCCCCUGGAACGGGGCGUCACAGAGGGUGAGAAUCCCGUAUGUGGCGGGCGGUCCAAGCCAUGUGAAGCUCCUUCGACGAGUCGAGUUGUUUGGGAAUGCAGCUCUAAAUGGGAGGUAAAUUUCUUCUAAAGCUAAAUAUUGGCCAGAGACCGAUAGCGCACAAGUAGAGUGAUCGAAAGAUGAAAAGCACUUUGGAAAGAGAGUUAAAAAGUACGUGAAAUUGUUGAAAGGGAAGCGCUUGCAACCAGACUCGCUCGCAGUUGCUCAGCCGGCCUCUUGGCCGGUGUACUCUUCUGCGAUCGGGCCAGCAUCAGUUCGGGCGGCUGGAUAAAGGUGUCGGGAAUGUAGCACCCUUCGGGGUGUGUUAUAGCCCGGCGCGGAAUGCGGCCAGCCUGGACUGAGGAUCUCGCUUCGGCAAGGAUGCUGGCGUAAUGGUUGUAAGCGGCCCGUCUUGAAACACGGACCAAGGAGUCUAACAUCUAUGCGAGUGUUUGGGUGUCAAACCCAUGCGCGUAAUGAAAGUGAACGGAGGUGGGAACCCUUCACGGGGUGCACCAUCGACCGAUCCUGAUGUCUUCGGAUGGAUUUGAGUAAGAGCAUAGCUGUUGGGACCCGAAAGAUGGUGAACUAUGCCUGAAUAGGGUGAAGCCAGAGGAAACUCUGGUGGAGGCUCGCA
rnacentral:rRNA from 1 species